CAUAUCUGCUGGAAUGCUUUAUGCGUAAAAUGGAUUUGUCUGCCCAAGGAUGGGUCUGCGGCCUAUCAGGUAGUAGUGGGUGUAAUGUACCUACUAGCCUACGACGGGUACGGGUUGUGAGAGCAAGAGCCCGGAGAUGGAUUCUGAGACAUGAAUCCAGGCCCUACGGGGCGCAGCAGGCGCGAAAACUUUACAAUGCGGGAAACCGUGAUAAGGGGACACCGAGUGCCAGCAUCAUAUGUUGGCUGUCCAGAUGUGUAAAAUACAUCUGUUAGCAAGGGCCGGGCAAGACCGGUGCCGGCCGCCGCGGUAACACCGGCGGCCCGAGUGGUGAUCGUGAUUAUUGGGUCUAAAGGGUCCGUAGCCGGUUUGGUCAGUCCUCCGGGAAAUCUGACGGCUCAACCGUUAGGCUUUCGGUGGAUACUGCCAGACUUGGAACCGGGAGAGGUAAGAGGUACUACAGGGGUAGGAGUGAAAUCUUGUAAUCCCUGUGAGACCACCUGUGGCGAAGGCGUCUUACCAGAACGGGUUCGACGGUGAGGGACGAAAGCUGGGGGCACGAACCGGAUUAGAUACCCGGGUAGUCCCACCCGUAAACGAUGCUCGCUAGGUGUCAGGCAUGGCGCGACCGUGUUUGGUGCCGCAGGGAAGCCGUGAAGCGAGCCACCUGGGAAGUACGGCCGCAAGGCUGAAACUUAA
rnacentral:rRNA from 1 species